GAUGAACGCUGGCGGCGUGCCUAAUACAUGCAAGUCGAGCGAACAGAUAAGGAGCUUGCUCCUUUGACGUUAGCGGCGGACGGGUGAGUAACACGUGGGUAACCUAUCUAUAAGACUGGAAUAACUCCGGGAAACCGGGGCUAAUGCCGGAUAACAUGUUGAACCGCAUGGUUCUACAGUGAAAGGCGGCUUUGCUGUCACUUAUAGAUGGACCCGCGCCGUAUUAGCUAGUUGGUGAGGUAACGGCUCACCAAGGCAACGAUACGUAGCCGACCUGAGAGGGUGAUCGGCCACACUGGAACUGGGACACGGUCCAGACUCCUACGGGAGGCAGCAGUAGGGAAUCUUCCGCAAUGGGCGAAAGCCUGACGGAGCAACGCCGCGUGAGUGAUGAAGGUCUUCGGAUCGUAAAACUCUGUUAUUAGGGAAGAACAAAUGCGUAAGUAACUGUGCGCGUCUUGACGGUACCUAAUCAGAAAGCCACGGCUAACUACGUG
rnacentral:rRNA from 1 species